AUGCGAGAGCAGGUCCGCCAAAAAGCUUCCCGUCAGUUAACAAACUGUAUCGUGCCCGACAGCCGUCCGACCAACGACUGCACAGCUGUGAUCAGGGUGUGGAACACCGUAUUAACCCCAAGCUCUCUCCUAAUUCCGAUACCACCACAGAAAACAAAUCAAGCUCACGCCAACCAAACCUUCCUCAACUAUCUAAAGAUAUGA
rnacentral:rRNA from 1 species